CCUACGGGGGGCAGCAGUGAGGAAUAUUGGUCAAUGGCCGAGAGGCUGAACCAGCCAAGUCGCGUGAGGGAAGACGGCCCUACGGGUUGUAAACCUCUUUUGUCGGGGAGCAAAGCGAGUCACGUGUGACUCAUUGAGAGUACCCGAAGAAAAAGCAUCGGCUAACUCCGUGCCAGCAGCCGCGGUAAUACGGAGGAUGCGAGCGUUAUCCGGAUUUAUUGGGUUUAAAGGGUGCGCAGGCGGAGGUGCAAGUCAGCGGUCAAAUUGCGGGGCUCAACCCCGUACUGCCGUUGAAACUGCAUGCCUUGAGUGCGCGAGAAGUAGGCGGAAUGCGUGGUGUAGCGGUGAAAUGCAUAGAGAUCACGCAGAACUCCGAUGGCGAAGGCAGCAUACCGGCGCGCAACUGACGCUCAUGCACGAAAGCGUGGGUAUCGAACAGGAUUAGAUACCCGUGUAGUC
rnacentral:rRNA from 1 species